ACACACCUUGCAGCCCUUACACAUACAAACACAGAUUCACACAAUGCAUUCCUUACACACAUAUCAGGACAUCCCCUACACACUCCACCCCCUGUGAACAAACUCAUUGGUGUAACAUGAAGGUGGACCCUGGGACCCAGACCUUGAACUGUGUAAAGGGCCCCCAAAAAAUGGAGCUGCUUCCCGUUCUCCCAGAACAUUGAUUUUUGUGACCACAG